rnacentral:tRNA from 1 species
GUGGUUAGAGCGCACCCCUGAUAAGGGUGAGGUCCCUGGUUCGAGUCCAGGAUGGCCCA